GGAUUGUGGCUCAGCGGUAGAGCGUUCGCCUAGCACGUGCAAGGCUCUGGGUUCGAUCCUCAGCACCA
rnacentral:tRNA from 1 species